rnacentral:rRNA from 1 species
UACGUAGGGUGCAAGCGUUAUUCGGAAUUACUGGGCGUAAAGCGUGCGCAGGCGGUUAUGUAAGUCAGAUGUGAAAUGCCCGGGCUUAACCUGGGAACUGCAUUUGUGACUGCAUGGCUAGAGUUUGGCAGAGGGGGGUAGAAUUCCACGUGUAGCAGUGAAAUGCGUAGAUAUGUGGAGGAACACCGAUGGCGAAGGCAGCCCCCUGGGUCAAGACUGACGCUCAUGCACGAAAGCGUGGGGAGCAAACAGG